CAGCAGCAGCCGCGGGAAUACGAAGGGUGCAAGCGUUAAUCGGAAUUACUGGGCGUAAAGCGUGCGUAGGCGGUUUGUUAAGUCUGCUGUGAAAUCCCCGGGCUCAACCUGGGAAUGGCAGUGGAUACUGGCAAGCUAGAGUGUGUCAGAGGAUGGUGGAAUUCCCGGUGUAGCGGUGAAAUGCGUAGAGAUCGGGAGGAACAUCAGUGGCGAAGGCGGCCAUCUGGGACAACACUGACGCUGAGGCACGAAAGCGUGGGGAGCAAACAGGAUUAGAUACCCCUGUAGUCCCUGUCUCUUAUAC
rnacentral:rRNA from 1 species